GAUGACCGAUUGACUAAGGAGAAUCUAGGGUCAAAAUGGGUAAUCGAUCAACCGUCAGACAUACUAGUAAAUAUUAAAUGCGAAUAUACGUUAUUUAUAAGUGAUUGACAGGUCAUAUUACACGAAAAUAUGGUAUUAAUGGACAAUUAACAGGUAUUAUUGAAUUUGAUUGUCUUGUUUAAUGAUUAAUCAAUGUCCCAAAGCCUUAUAAAUAUAUUAUUCACCUUCACCUAAAACAACUUGAUCUAUCCUAAUAAAA
rnacentral:lncRNA from 1 species